rnacentral:misc_RNA from 1 species
GUGGUGAUCGGUUUGUCCGGGUCGGACGGUUCCCUGCUUGUGCAGCGACGUUCGUCCCGGCAUACCACUCCAGUUGUGCCUUGAAGACCCUUUUUAGAUCGUUGAGCGUCGGUGGGUUUUUGUGCUGCAUACCCAACCGAGGAACUCGUUGCCUUAUGAUGCCUUUUCGCCCUGCUUCGCUCGCGCGACUUGGGGCGACACGGAGGCGCGCCCGGUUAUCCACGAAAUGUUGCGUGCGUCGACGCGCUUCUCUCGUGGGUCGCCGGUCGCUGCCGAUGUCGCGGAUACGGAACCUUGUGCGGGCACGGAGUCUCGGCUCUUAUUUGCCCAAAUAGAGUGUUCUCSCUUCUAACGAACGACUGUUGCUUCCUCGUCCGUCGCCCGACUGCCUUGCGGGGUCGGGGGACGGCGAUGCGGCGACGUCGGCUUGGAAUGCUACCUGGUUGAUCCUGCC